rnacentral:rRNA from 1 species
UACGUAGGGGGCAAGCGUUGUCCGGAAUCAUUGGGCGUAAAGAGCGUGUAGGCGGCCAGAUAAGUCCGCUGUGAAAACUCGAGGCUCAACUUCGAGCUGUCGGCGGAAACUAUCUGGCUAGAGUCCGGAAGAGGAGAGUGGAAUUCCUGGUGUAGCGGUGAAAUGCGCAGAUAUCAGGAAGAACACCCGUGGCGAAGGCGGCUCUCUGGGACGGUACUGACGCUGAGGCACGAAAGCGUGGGGAGCAAACAGG